rnacentral:rRNA from 1 species
AUUGAACGCUGGCGGCAGGCUUAACACAUGCAAGUCGAGCGGGGGAAGGUAGCUUGCUACCGGACCUAGCGGCGGACGGGUGAGUAAUGCUUAGGAAUCUGCCUAUUAGUGGGGGACAACAUCUCGAAAGGGAUGCUAAUACCGCAUACGUCCUACGGGAGAAAGCAGGGGAUCUUCGGACCUUGCGCUAAUAGAUGAGCCUAAGUCGGAUUAGCUAGUUGGGGGGGUAAAGGCCUACCAAGGCGACGAUCUGUAGCGGGUCGGAGAGGAUGGUCCGCCACACUGGGACUGAGACACGGCCCAGACUCCUACGGGAGGCAGCAGUGGGGAAUAUUGGACAAUGGGGGGAACCCUGAUCCAGCCAUGCCGCGUGUGUGAAGAAGGCCUUAUGGUUGUAAAGCACUUUAAGCGAGGAGGAGGCUACUCUAGUUAAUACCUAGGGAUAGUGGACGUUACUCGCAGAAUAAGCACCGGCUAACUCUGUGCCAGCAGCCGCAGUAA